rfam:Myotis brandtii contig282216, whole genome shotgun sequence.
GGUGGUUCUCGGGUGACUCACCCCGGAAUUGGGCUCCCUCCUCUCUGGUUCUGGGGUGCUUCACCCAAGAACUGCC